CCUACGGGAGGCAGCAGUGAGGAAUAUUGGUCAAUGGACGAGAGUCUGAACCAGCCAAGUAGCGUGAAGGAUGACUGCCCUAUGGGUUGUAAACUUCUUUUAUAUGGGAAUAAAACGUUCCACGUGUGGGAUUUUGUAUGUACCAUAUGAAUAAGGAUCGGCUAACUCCGUGCCAGCAGCCGCGGUAAUACGGAGGAUCCGAGCGUUAGACGGAUUUAUUGGGUUUAAAGGGAGCGUAGGUGGAUUGUUAAGUCAGUUGUGAAAGUUUGCGGAUCAACCGUAAAAUUGCAGUUGAAACUGGAAGUCUUGAGUACAGUAGAGGUGGGCGGAAUUCGUGGUGUAGCGGUGAAAUGCUUAGAUAUCACGAAGAACUCCGAUUGCGAAGGCAGCUCACUGGACUGCAACUGACACUGAGGCUCGAAAGUGUGGGUAUCAAACAGGAUUAGAUACCCCAGUAGUC
rnacentral:rRNA from 1 species